UCCUGAUCGGGCAGGUCCAAGUGGCUUGUCUCCAUCUACCUCUACCUCUUCGUGGGCACCUCCUGAUCGGGCAGCUUGGAAAAAUGUCCUUUGUCCGAAAGGAGCAACAGCCCUCUACAGGAGACAACUGUUAAGGGAGAAGGAAACGGAGCCUCCAAUUCGAGCCAGCAUAGAAAUAAGAGGGGACCAAAUAUCCCAAAGUAGAGAGAUUCUCAUGUUUUACAAAACCCCUGAUGUUGACUGGGCAUGUCCCCUACAUUGUACUCUACAAGGUGACCCAGCUGUUGGAGUCGGAGUGAAUCGCCAUUAUCUUAGUUUGGCUAUGUCAAAACUCCAAAAUGGCUUCAAUGUGAACACUGAUCUGACCAACAUCACAAUGCUGUUCGAGGGAGAGCCGAACCAUCUUCUGCCUGCCACUUCAGAGACUCUAAUUGAGUCAGAUCUUUUUGUUGUAACAGGCAGAAUGAUGGGCCAUGCUUUUCUACAUGGGGGCCCUCCAUUUUAUGGCCUUAGUGAGGCUAUAGUUCACAUGCUCAUCCAUGCUGGAGACAUUGACACAGCAACUGUUACCAUUGCUGAUGUAGCUGAUUAUGACAUAAGAGAUACAAUUAAAAUGGUUGAUGGAGAAGUCGAUCUAACAGAGGAUCAAACAUCAGACAUAAAUAGCCUUGCUAUGUCUUGGGACCUACCUCCAGUUUGCAAAGUCAAUCGGCGCUGGCUGUACCAAAAGCUCCUGAAACAUGCGGUCAUUGUGCGCCGUUUUCGGCAAAUAAAACAAAUACGCAAAGGCCUGAAGCAAACGAAGGUCCUGACUUUGCUUCAGGAAAGGCCGGAGACAUCGACCAUUGUCUUCCCUCGGUCAGAGGAGGCAAUUCCAGAUCCUCAGGUAGACACUGUCAUCAGGGGUUAAAUGUUAAUUAAUGCAUGUGGCUAAAUGCAGGACACCAGCACAUUUAUUUCUUUCUCCAAAGA
rnacentral:lncRNA from 1 species